UACGAAGGGUGCAAACGUUGCUCGGAAUUACUGGGCGUAAAGCGCGUGUAGGUGGCGAUGUAAGUCGGGUGUGAAAUCCCUCGGCUCAACCGAGGAAGUGCACUCGAUACUGUGUCGCUUGAGUGUUGGAGGGGAUGGCGGAAUUCCCGGUGUAGAGGUGAAAUUCGUAGAUAUCGGGAGGAACACCUGUGGCGAAGGCGGCCAUCUGGACAACUACUGACACUGAGACGCGAAAGCGUGGGUAGCAAACAGG
rnacentral:rRNA from 1 species